CAGAUAUAGAAUUUAUUUUCCAAUAUCCAUUGCAAAGAAUAAGAGGUGACACGGCUUGAAACAGAUAAUACAGAAUUUAUUUUCAACCAGAAGUAGGAAAAUACAUAGGUAGGUGUAAAGGAAACGAGCAGAACCUGUAGUCAAAGAAAAAAUAAAAAUAAAAGAAACGAAAAAUAAUAAAAACUAGUCCAAAGAGAAUUGAGAGGACGGCUAAGGGGGUACAACGGAAAGCAUUGUUUACCAUUCAGUUUCAUUUUAAAACAGUAUGUGUUGAUUUGAAAACAGCUGCCUUGAUUUCUCAUCUGGGUUAAUGGACAUUCUACAACAUUGUGCAAGUGUUUUUGUCUUUUUUUUUCUCCUUUUUUUGCUGGUAUUUCAUGAAUGGUAAACAAUAGUUGGUCCAGUGCAUAAACACAGUGACACAGAUCAAUAUAUGUACUCAGCUGACUACAGAUAGACAAUCCUGAUCAUUGAACAACUACCACUAAAUUGGCAGGGAGAAGGAGAUGAGUAAAUAUACAAGAUGGAUGAUAAAAGAAGAAAAAUGCUGUUCAGGUAACCUGGAAGGGUAAAGAUGGGAGUUUUAAAAAUAAUUAAACAACCACACUGUGAAAGAUGAAAUAGCUACAUAUUCCAGGUAAACAUUUAAAGAAAAUCUGAAUGUGUUUGAAUGUUUCUGGGUAUUAUUGCCAAGUUUUUAGGACAAAAAAAAAAAAAAAAAAAAAAAAAAAGAAGGGAUGCAUCUGAAAUGAGCCGUCAGGUUGAGAACUCAAACUACAGCAUGAAAACGGGUGAAUAUGUGGUUCAGGAAAAGGAUAAAAGUGCUUUGUUUUCCUUACAGCCCUACAUUUCAUGAAAACUAUGAGCUGGAUUAAAAGAAAGAGAAAAAAAGAACCCUGAACUGGAUCUAGACUGGAGAACUGAACUACGAGCAGCUUUGGUGUGCACCCAUGCAAAGAGACGCAGCCUGGGGAGAAGGUUAGAAAAAAAAAAAAAAAAAAUACAGGGGAAAAAACUUAAAAUCUCUUUACACCUAAAAAUGAAACAAUGUAAGGAAGAAAAAGGAAAAGCCAAAAAAGUGAUUAGUCACUGGGGCUUACAGGGUGUCACAACUCAGCUUUGAUUUGACAAGAUUCAGUCUGAAGCCAUCUGUGGUUUAACGAGAAAUGAUGAAGAGGACGUUUUUGUCAAUAGUAGCUAACUAGUUUGACAGAUUUAACCACUGUGAUGUACGAGAACAGAAUGAGAUAGACUAGUAGCACUCAAAUCAUCACAGGACCAGUCUAGCGGCACAUCAUUAGCUUAACAUGUUUU
ensembl:lncRNA